rnacentral:rRNA from 1 species
AUUGAACGCUGGCGGCAGGCUUAACACAUGCAAGUCGAGCGGAGUGAUGGUGCUUGCACUAUCACUUAGCGGCGGACGGGUGAGUAAUGCUUAGGAAUCUGCCUAUUAGUGGGGGACAACAUCUCGAAAGGGAUGCUAAUACCGCAUACGUCCUACGGGAGAAAGCAGGGGAUCACUUGUGACCUUGCGCUAAUAGAUGAGCCUAAGUCGGAUUAGCUAGCUGGUGGGGUAAAGGCCUACCAAGGCGACGAUCUGUAGCGGGUCUGAGAGGAUGAUCCGCCAAACUGGGACUGAGACACGGGCCAGACUCCUACGGGAGGCAGCAGUGGGGAAUAUUGGACCAUGGGGGGAACCCUGAUCCAGCCAUGCCGCGUGUGUGAAGAAGGCCUUAUGGUUGUAAAGCACUUUAAGCGAGGAGGAGGCUCUUUUGGUUAAUACCCAAGAUGAGUGGACGUUACUCGCAGAAUAAGCACCGGCUAACUCUGUGCCAGCCGCCGCCGUAA